rnacentral:rRNA from 1 species
CUUUGGUUUGGUGCUUUAGCAGGUUUAUUGAUAGAAAUUAAUCGUUUAUUCCCAGAUGCUUUGUCAUUCCCUUUUUUUAAUUCUAGUUAUUGCUAUGGGAGGGAUAGAUUUCUUCAUAAUAUGACAAAAUUUGAUCCUUUUCAAUCUUUUUUUAGUAUCGGGUAUUGUCAGAUCCGAACAUAG